rnacentral:lncRNA from 1 species
UCUGUAUUUUUUUGACUAUAGGAUUGACGGUGGUAUUGCUCCACUUGUUGAGUUUGUUGUUCCAAAGGUGCAGAGAGAAACUGCAGGAUCCUGCAGAUUAUCGAAUGCACUAGUGAUACUAGAGUCACAUUUUAUACUAGUGAUACAACUGUGAUAUGUUUUAGUAUUUUUUUAGACUCCAAGAAAUGUUGAUAAAAAAAAGAACACCUAUACAGUUAUAACAUGAUGAUAAUAAGUACUCACAUUUCAAAACAAAAAAAAAUAAGACAAAUAAUAAAUAUCUACCAAGGAAAUAGUUGAAGAAUAACAACAAACCUAUGACACCCUCUCAGUAUGGUUCAACAUUUAAAAAAUGUUUCCAUUUGUGUACUUAAAUAAAAAAAGUGAUAUAUAGAUAAUUACAAACUGAUAGGUUUAAUACAAGUUGUGUGAGAUCAAGGAGGAGAGGAAAGGACUUAAAUAGGUAGCUAUAACUGCAAAACAAUUAUGUUUGUUCCUAGCCAGAUGUCACCAUGCUUGAUGUUCCUACUUCACAAUCAUUAAUUAACAUAUAAGGUAUUAUGAUAAACCAAAUGACUAAGAUUAGAUAAACUAUUGAAUUCCCAUAUUUACCUCGGCAACUUCCAAGACAACAACUAAAAUAACAAAUAGAAUGCAGGGAAAAAUAUAGAACAAUUGAAACAAAAUUCAGGCAGAUUAAAAGAGCACCUGCAGAAGAUGUAGGGAUGCAUGCUUUGAUAUAGAACCAAAACGUAAACUUGACAUUACUUCAGAGUAUUGUUUGGCUUAAACCACAAAUGACGGUCUUUAUAUUCAAGAACUGUAGUACAACACACUCAGUAUAGGACAUUGCACGGAAAAAAGAAUAAGGAAAGAAGAACAGGGCUUUAAGAUUGAGACAAAAUGGCAACUCGUUAUGCUGUUGUUUUCCCCUUUUGUCUUAAAGGCCAUAUAAUAUUGUUACCUUUAAAAAGCAAAUUUUUCUUUGUUCACUAAUAGAUAUGAUAUUGAAGUUGGAAAAUCAAUUGUUAAAAUAAUUUGAUUUAUCUUAUUAUUCAAGUAUUCAACUGAAUUGA